AGAGUUUGAUCCUGGCUCAGGACGAACGCUGGCGGCGUGCCUAAUACAUGCAAGUCGAACGCUUUUUCUUUCACCGGAGCUUGCUCCACCGAAAGAAAAGGAGUGGCGAACGGGUGAGUAACACGUGGGUAACCUGCCCAUCAGAAGGGGAUAACACUUGGAAACAGGUGCUAAUACCGUAUAACAAUCGAAACCGCAUGGUUUCGGUUUGAAAGGCGCUUUUGCGUCACUGAUGGAUGGACCCGCGGUGCAUUAGCUAGUUGGUGAGGUAACGGCUCACCAAGGCAACGAUGCAUAGCCGACCUGAGAGGGUGAUCGGCCACAUUGGGACUGAGACACGGCCCAAACUCCUACGGGAGGCAGCAGUAGGGAAUCUUCGGCAAUGGACGGAAGUCUGACCGAGCAACGCCGCGUGAGUGAAGAAGGUUUUCGGAUCGUAAAACUCUGUUGUUAGAGAAGAACAAGGAUGAGAGUAGAAUGUUCAUCCCUUGACGGUAUCUAACCAGAAAGCCACGGCUAACUACGUGCCAGCAGCCGCGGUAAUACGUAGGUGGCAAGCGUUGUCCGGAUUUAUUGGGCGUAAAGCGAGCGCAGGCGGUUUCUUAAGUCUGAUGUGAAAGCCCCCGGCUCAACCGGGGAGGGUCAUUGGAAACUGGGAAACUUGAGUGCAGAAGAGGAGAGUGGAAUUCCAUGUGUAGCGGUGAAAUGCGUAGAUAUAUGGAGGAACACCAGUGGCGAAGGCGGCUCUCUGGUCUGUAACUGACGCUGAGGCUCGAAAGCGUGGGGAGCAAACAGGAUUAGAUACCCUGGUAGUCCACGCCGUAAACGAUGAGUGCUAAGUGUUGGAGGGUUUCCGCCCUUCAGUGCUGCAGCUAACGCAUUAAGCACUCCGCCUGGGGAGUACGACCGCAAGGUUGAAACUCAAAGGAAUUGACGGGGGCCCGCACAAGCGGUGGAGCAUGUGGUUUAAUUCGAAGCAACGCGAAGAACCUUACCAGGUCUUGACAUCCUUUGACCACUCUAGAGAUA
rnacentral:rRNA from 1 species